rnacentral:lncRNA from 1 species
AGAAACUUCUGGCCUCUGGACACUGUGGGAGCAACUUUUCCUUUAUUAGACUGUCUCCUCUUUAACUGUACCUAGAAGAUACUUUAGCACAGCAAGCAUCUCUUUUAUGCUUACAUUAUGCAGUUAUGCAGACUUGGUGAGAUAGACCAGUGCAAUGGACCUCAUAACCACAUACAAUCUAGUUUUAUGGGGAAACUCCUUGUAUAAAAUUUGAGGAAGAACUUUUUGAAACCCAUGAAGAGUUUGAGAAGUUAAUCCAAGGUGGAACCCUGAUGUACGAGCAAGUGCCCAUGGUGGAAAUCGAUGGAAUGACUUUGGUGCAGACCAGUGCCAUCUUAAGAUAUGUAGCUGCAAAAUAUGACUUGUAUGGAAGGAACCUGGAGGAACAAGCCUGAAGAGAAGGAGAUGAACCUUGAAUACAUCCUCCACCGAGCUACAACAAGAUUCUUCCCCGUUUAUGAGAAGGCCCUGAGAGACCACGGGCAAGACUUUCUUGUGGGCAAUCGGCUGAGCUUGGCUGAUGUCCAGCUCCUUGAAGUCAUCUUAAUGGCUGAAGAAUGCAAAGCCAGUGUUCUCUCGGGUUUCCCUCUGCUACAGGACUUCAAGGUGAGAACCAGCCAAAUUCCUACAAUUAACAGCUUCCUCCAACCUGGAAGCCAGAGGAAGCCUCCUUUGGAGGAGCGAUCCAUUGGGACUGCAAAGGACAUAUUCAAAUUUGAAUGAGGACUGUUUCUUAAAAACAUGAGCAAUAUAGUAGCUGAGUAUUAACAGCUACAGAGGCUGGAGUUACUCAGUAAGUAUACUGAGUAACUUGACACUGCAUUCAUAAAAAGACACUCACUAAGUAUAUGGCCAGAGAAAUAUCCUGAAGUUAGUAAUAAAUGUUAGGAAUCUUAGUAUGUUAGCAAUGUUAGAAUGUUAGUAAUGGAAAUAUUAAAUGUGUAAGAGAAAAACUACUAGAAGCUUAUCAAUAAACUACAAGAACCAACUCUUGUUUGAAGUAAGACAGGCUACCAAGACAGAAUUCAGAAAAUCCAAGGAGCCCUCGGCCUUCUGUAUGAUCCUAGAAUAAACUUGUAUGUAGCAAGUGAAA